rnacentral:rRNA from 1 species
AUUGAACGCUGGCGGCAUGCUUUACACAUGCAAGUCGAACGGCAGCGGGGAGGAGCUUGCUUCUCUGCCGGCGAGUGGCGAACGGGUGAGUAAUACAUCGGAACGUGUCGAGAAGAGGGGGAUAACCACCCGAAAGGGUGGCUAAUACCGCAUAAAUUCUGAGGAAGAAAGCUGGGGACCUAGGAAUAGGCCUAGCGCUUUUUGAGCGGCUGAUGUCGGAUUAGCUAGUUGGUGAGGUAAAGGCUCACCAAGGCGAAGAUCUGUAGCGGGUCUGAGAGGAUGAUCCGCCACACUGGGACUGAGACACGGCCCAGACUCCUACGGGAGGCAGCAGUGGGGAAUUUUGGACAAUGGGGGCAACCCUGAUCCAGCCAUGCCGCGUGUAUGAAGAAGGCCUUAGGGUUGUAAAGUACUUUUGUUAGGGAAGAAAAGUCAGCUGUGAAUAAUGGCUGAUACUGACGGUACCUAAAGAAUAAGCACCGGCUAACUACGUG